AUCCCAUGCGUUUCCUGGAGUAGUGGCUGUAAAUACCAAUGGGUUUUCAUUGAGUCCUCAUCUAGUGCUGUCUUACGAUGAGAAAUAUUGGAACUUGUGUGCCAAAUAUCAAAGUAUUGGAAAGGUGAAAAUUUGAAAAAAAACUUAUCGUCUCCUUGUUUGACCUGUCUCAAUGGUAUACUAGGCCUCUUGAGUUCAGCAAGGCGAAAGGCUAUUAUUACCUUAGGAUACAUGUUUCAUUGUUGCCAUUCAUAAGCUUCAAAAACCUAAAAUCAAGUGUCCAAGGAUCCCAUAUGAGUAAUUGAAGGGAUUGGAUGGCAUAUUACUCUAUGGUUUGAUGUGAAGAGCUUUGCUAAUGGUCCUCUCUGUCUCCAACGUCCAAAAGAAGGGAUUAUCUGGGAUAUUAUUU
rnacentral:misc_RNA from 1 species